ACUUGGACCUAGCAGCAUCAAUGAGCCAGCUCCUCACUGGGGAACAUGCAAACCCCCAGCUGCUGGUGUGCAGGAAAAGAAUCCAGGAGAUCACCUGAUGAAGCCCAGCAUUUUACAGGCAGUGGAGCAGGGGAAUCCAGUUGACACUGUGGCUAAAUUUCAGAAAACCUCCCAUGAGAUCUUGCAAAGGAGAUGGAGAAAAUAUGGCUGAAUGCCAGCAAG
rnacentral:lncRNA from 1 species